UACGAAGGGUGCAAGCGUUACUCGGAAUUACUGGGCGUAAAGCGUGCGCAGGCGGUGAUGUAAGACCGAUGUGAAAUCCCCGGGCUUAACCUGGGAACUGCAUUGGUGACUGCAUUGCUGGAGUAUGGCAGAGGGGGGUGGAAUUCCACGUGUAGCAGUGAAAUGCGUAGAGAUGUGGAGGAACACCGAUGGCGAAGGCAGCCCCCUGGGCCAAUACUGACGCUCAUGCACGAAAGCGUGGGGAGCAAACAGG
rnacentral:rRNA from 1 species